rnacentral:rRNA from 1 species
GACGAACGCUGGCGGCGUGCCUAAUACAUGCAAGUCGAACGCACAGUUUAUACUUUAGCUUGCUACACCAUAGACUGUGAGUUGCGAACGGGUGAGUAACGCGUAGGUAACCUGCCUGGUAGCGGGGGAUAACUAGUGGAAACGAUAGCUAAUACCGCAUAAUAUUGAUUAUUGCAUGAUAAUUGAUUGAAAGAUGCUAUUGCAUCACUACCAGUUGGCUCUGCGUUGUAUUAGCUAGUAGUCGAGGUAACGGCGCACCUAGGUGAGGAUACAUAGCCGACCGGCGAGGGCGGGCAGCCAGACUGGGACGGUGACACGGCACAGAGGGCUAGGGGAGGCGGCAGUAGGGAAUCGGGGGGAAAGGACGAGAGACUGACCGAGAAAGGCCGCAGGAGUGAAGAAGGAUGUCGGGUCGGAAAGCUCGGUUGUAAGGGAAGAAAGAGUGUUAGAGUGUGAAGUUCACACUGUGACGGUAUCUUACCAAGAAGCGACGGCUAACUACGUG